rnacentral:rRNA from 1 species
GACAGAGGGUGCAAACGUUGUUCGGAAUUACUGGGCGUAAAGCGAGUGUAGGCGGUUCGGUAAGUCGGAUGUGAAAGCCCCGGGCUCAACCCGGGAAGUGCACUCGAUACUGCCGAGCUAGAGUGUCGGAGAGGUUGGUGGAAUUCUCGGUGUAGAGGUGAAAUUCGUAGAUAUCGAGAGGAACACCGGUGGCGAAGGCGGCCAACUGGACGAACACUGACGCUGAGACUCGAAAGCGUGGGGAGCAAACAGG